rnacentral:rRNA from 1 species
UACGGGGGGGGCAAGCGUUGUUCGGAAUUACUGGGCGUAAAGGGCUCGUAGGCGGCCAACUAAGUCAGACGUGAAAUCCCUCGGCUUAACCGGGGAACUGCGUCUGAUACUGGAUGGCUUGAGAUUGGGAGAGGGAUGCGGAAUUCCAGGUGUAGCGGUGAAAUGCGUAGAUAUCUGGAGGAACACCGGUGGCGAAGGCGGCAUCCUGGACCGAAAUUGACGCUGAGGCGCGAAAGCCAGGGGAGCAAACGGG